rnacentral:ribozyme from 18 species
AAAAAAAAAAAGAAAAAAACAAAAAAACGAAAGAAAGAAAGAAAGAAAAAA